rnacentral:rRNA from 1 species
AGAGUUUGAUCCUGGCUCAGAGUGAACGCUGGCGGCAGGCCUAACACAUGCAAGUCGAACGGCAGCACAGCAGUAGCAAUACUGUGGGUGGCGGGCGGCGGACGGGUGAGGAAUGCGUCGGAAUCUGCCUUUUUGUGGGGGAUAACGUAGGGAAACUUACGCUAAUACCGCAUACGACCUACGGGUGAAAGUGGGGGACCUUCGGGCCUCACGCAGAAAGAUGAGCCGACGCCGGAUUAGCUAGUUGGCGGGGUAAAGGCCCACCAAGGCGACGAUCCGUAGCUGGUCUGAGAGGAUGAUCAGCCACACUGGGACUGAGACACGGCCCAGACUCCUACGGGAGGCAGCAGUGGGGAAUAUUGGACAAUGGGCGCAAGCCUGAUCCAGCCAUGCCGCGUGUGUGAAGAAGGCCUUCGGGUUGUAAAGCACUUUUGUCCGGAAAGAAAAGCUUCGGGUUAAUAACCUGGAGUCAUGACGGUACCGGA